rnacentral:lncRNA from 1 species
CUAAAUCCACCAUGUCUGCCCUGUGGGUUGUGGCGGUGAGGGGGUGGGGGGCGGUGCGUGGAGGCUGGUUCUUCCUCCUCCUUCCAGACACCCUGCUGCACUGACGGCUCCUCCACUGCUCCCCACGGUGCUGAGCUUGUCCUGCCUCCUGCAUGGCUAAUUGGGAGACUGGGCAGAGACGCUCAAUGCGGGGGUGACAGAGAGAUAGAUACAUGGAUUGAUUGAUUGACGAGAGGAAGUCGUACAGGCACAUACCCCGCUGUCCCCCUAAAGAAUGUCUGCUCUGUGGACCUGCAGAUGUACAAAGAGGAUGACAAUUAUUAUGUGAUGUGUUGAAAUAAACAGUGUUCUGGAAGCUUAGAGAAAGGAAUAAUUAACUCAAUGAAGAGGAAGCCUUUACAGAGGUGGCAACAUCAGAAUGAGGAGCAAGAGCCAGGAUUCCGUCUCUGAGGGUGCAGGCUUGUGUCUGGAUGUCUUCAUUUUGGCCAAGCUAUUGGUGUGCCUGCCUGUGUGGCAGCUGGACACUGGGCCUCCAGAGCCCAGGGGGGAGCUGCACAAGUCAUGCUGCCCAGAAACCAGGCCCAGGGUGGGCAAACCAUGCCUGACGGAUGACCAGCUCCUGGCUUAUGGCACACUGUAUAUUUGAGGUUGCAGCUGAGGACAUCGUGCAGCCCAACUACUAACAGUGAUGAGGUCUGGAUUUUCCUGACUUUCUCUGCUUCUGUGCUAUGGAAUGGCCAGAAGUUCAGCUUGUGGAACACAGAAUGGUCUGCAAGCAAACUCUUUCCUCUCCUUGAAAUCUUGCUAUUCCUGUCCUUUGUUCUUAGAAGAAACUGAGCUCUAGAUAUGUCUCACUGUUGGCUUUGUCCACAGGGCCCCAAGGUAAGCACUGCUGCUCAGGAGAUAAUUCAGAGUGCUAAUGGCAUACAGAUGCAUGCGAAUUCAUGUGCACACACACAAAUUAGGCUGCAAUUAUCACAGGAACUAUUUGCUAAUGCUGGUUACCAUUUGAACCAUUACUCAACACUGGUUCCCACAGAAGUCUGGUCACUGUGGCUCAGCAUGAGGCCUGCCUCUCUGGCAGUCUUGGAAACUUGGCAUCAACACCAAGUAACAGCUGUGGGUUGAUUGGAUGUGGGAGGUGGGUCUCUUAAGGUUUGCUAUGGGAAAGGAAAAAACCUGCUGGAAAAUGACACUGAGAUUCCAUCAAGGGAAGGAAAAACCAGCAUCAAAGACAAGGAAUGCCAUACAAUACAUCACAUGCUAGUGUGGGUGGCCAAGAGUGUUAUUCACACAGUGUGUCCAUUUCACUCAACAGCUCUUCCCUGCUGUCUAUUGCAUGCCUGCGGUAUGAGAGGCUUGGGAGAAGGUAUCUAAGACAGGAGCCACCCCACAGAAGCAACUAGUUCACCACAGGUGUGGAGGCUGAUUCCCCAUUGAGUCCUAUGGGAGUUAUCAAGCCCCAGGGUGGAGGCAGGGCUUGAGAUUUGCUGUCAAGAGUGCCGUGUUAAUCUGUGCUCAUGCUGCU